UUACUGUUAUUUUUUGUUUAUUAUCUAUUUCACUUGCUUGUGCAAUUUAAACAUGUUUCCCAUGCCAAUAAAGCCCCAUAAAUUGAAAUUCAAUUGGAAGCGAGAUACUACACUCGCUGUUUUCCCCCAGCUUUUUUCUAGUUUAAUGAAAGUCAACUAACUAUGUAGACCAGACCCAGCUGCUAUUGCAUUGAUGUCUAAGGGAGACACACCCAGUUAAGUAGACUGAAACUGUCAACGCUAAAAGGCCUGCGUGAACUCUCUUAAAUUUAUCCACCAUCUUUGGUUGCUAACGUUAUACUGUGUGACUAACUACUACUGUAACUAGCUACAUUUUUUGAAACUAUUAUCUAACUGUGUCGGAAUUGAGAAACUAAUAGUACACCCAACAAUUUCAAAGAAGCUAACGCUAGUUAGCUAAGGUAUAGAGAUAAGUAUUCAGUAAUAGUAAAUUAGCUACCGUACCAUACUCAGAAGAUAGCUAACGUUAGCUAGCAAGACGAGGAAGCGCUAGCUAACAUAGCAUAGAUAGCUAACAAGCAGCCUGGGUUUGAAUUAAACGCUCCCCAGAAUAGCUGGUAUAUCGGCUAAUGAUAAAUUGCAAGCCAUCUAGUUACCUUUACCUAGGUGCGCGAAUAGCUAAUUCCUUGAUUAAAGUAAGUGAACUAGAUAAUUUCACUAACUGAGCCAGGAAGGAAGACAUUAACAGGUAAAUUAGGAAACAUGGACAAUACAUCAUCAAGUGGACCCAGUAAGGGUGGAGCAUUGCCUGAAUAUUCAAACACUGAAUUCGGCGUCAAUUAUUUCUCAACGUGAUAUGGAAAGUCUGCAAUUCAAUUCGACCUAAUUGAUGUGGCCAUGAGCAUCAGCUGACUAUUUUCUGUGUGUUUUUCUCUCCUCACGCAGUGGCUGGGAUGAGCCCCCUCUCGCCGUAUCUUAAUGUGGAUCCAAGAUAUUUUACACAUGUCAGUUCCAGUUAGUAUAAUGAAUGACUUUGGUUCACAAACUUGGAAUCUGCCAGAUUCAGGACCUGGAUCUACAAUACAACACAACAGGUGCUGCGGUUGGAGCGCUCAACGGGCUCCUAAUAGGACUAUCCGAGACCAAAGACAUGGCUUGGUCUAAGCCACGUAAUGUACAGUCAAUCCCCCGUCUUUGCACAAAUUAAUGGUCUUUUGGAGGCCGUGAUUAAGUUGGAUUUCCUUCACAAGUUAUUUCUGGAUUUGAAAGACCAAGCAGAUUAAGAGUUAUGUUCGUCUCAAUCACUUUUUCAGUAUACGAUAAUUACUCAUUCUGGUAUCAACCAGCAGAGGGCAGUCUUCACCAAUUUGUUCAGUAUGUGUCAAAAUAUUUCAUAUGGCUGGUUGAUAACUUGUCAUGCUCUCCAUUAUGAUUGCGCUGGUACAAUGAUUCAAGGGUUCCAUUUGAUCUUUGUAAAGGUGUUUAAAUGCAUCUAUAUGGGUCAUAAUGUAAGCAUCAAGAUUUUUGGCCAACCUCAAUCUUAUCGGUUGUGUGAACAAUCUGCAUUCUGUAUUGGUUCCAACUAAACUCCAAAAGGAUAACCACUUGAAAGGUUAGUCUUGGCUUUCCCUUACAGAUAUGAGGCAAUUAUUUGGGACUUAAAUCUACUCCAAGUAUAUGCUGCUCCACGCAAAGAAUAAAAGCUAAGUGACAUGCAUGGACAAUCUGACGUGACAUGACAUGAAUCCAUCAUGUGUAAUUAUUAACACUGGACUUCCUGCUUAGUUCACAGUUAGGAUCUUACUCUGUGGUCCAAAGGUAAACUGCUGAUGGGAUCAGACCACCGCUAGAGAGAGGGGGGGAGAAGCACUGAAUUAUAUACCUCUACAUUUGCUGAAAUUGAUUCUCACCAAACCGCUUGUCUGAAUUUAUAAUGCUGAUAGGCAGCAUCAUCAUUUCCCCCAGUCGGUAUCAGUAAUAACACAUUGUUCCAUGAAAAACUGGAUAUAGUAGCCCUAUAUGAUGGUGUUUUGUUGUAAAUCUGACCUACGCUGUUGCUUUCACUGAGAUUGUCACACUCACCCGGCCAUUGAAUGACCCUGUGCUUAAUACUCUAGAAGAAAAAGAAACGCACACCUCCUUAGGCGAGGUGCUGGCCAGCAGAGCAGAAAACAUGAAAAUAAAAGAGAGCCGCACACUCUAGGAGCUCAGGUGCAAAAAUGUAAUUACCAACGUUUCAACAGCCAAGCUGUCUUCAUCAGGGUAUAACCUGUGCUUAACACGCCUUUGUCGACACACCUGACUUUUUAGUGCUGCGUAACACAGCUGGGUUUAUAGGCCUUGUCAGCGCUCUUGACAUCCCCAGCAAUCACAUGACUUAGUCCCUGUCAGGACAGGAGAAGGAGGGCGAAGUCUGCCUUGGCCACGGGUAGAUUGUGUUCACUGUAAUGCCGGCUCCAGUUGGAAUAUUGGUUUGACCAGGGUCAUUCUUUUUCCAGCUGUUUGCUGUUAGAAGAUAGACAUUAUCAUGUGCAGUUUUACUGUUUGUGCAUGUCUGAAGCUGAAUCAGAUCAAUCAUGAAGGUACAGCAGUCUAACUACAUUAUCAUCUGACAGGCUGUUUGUCACUUUGCCUGAUCACCUCAACGCAUGGUUAACCUUUUUGAUAUAGGAUUUCCAUAUAAACUGAAGCAUAACUUCAACGGGCAUGUGUCAGGUUUUCAAUACGCGGCCAUUUUACUAGAACCCCUAAUCGUAAAUCAACCCUUGUAUCACAUGGACUUUGUCAGAGUUGAUGUUUAGACUGUAGAUGUCUGUGUUUUUAAUGGAUAUGAUAUCCUCACUUUUAGGCUCCUACAUCUGGUGAUCCUCCAAGGAGCGACAUGGGCAAACACACUUGGCUCACUGGCUUCGAUGUACAGUGUGUUUGGGGGUGGCCAUCGAGAAGGCACGGUUAGCAGAGGAUGACAUCAACACUGUUGCUGCUGGGAUUAUGACAGGCAUGCUGUACAAGUCCACAGGCUGGUAGAGGGUGUGUACGUGGACCAGCGUGAGGGGGCCUGGCUCUGUCAGCUCUCUGUAUAACAACUGAAGGGAAACCCUCCCACCCGCUACUGAGCCCGGCAUGGAACAUGGACCAGUCAAAACAUUUCCCCAAAUAUCUUUUGAUAUCUUUGUAGACAUAUCCUCCCUUUCCAUAAUAACUUAUCUUGUCCCUGAGUUAGGCCCCUAAGGUUGCAUUGAAGGGUGGCCAGGUCUGGAAGAUGUCAAGUGUUAGACCUAAUUUAUGCUGUAAUGCACAUCAACGCUGCACAUUGUAUCAAUUUGUUGCUGGUGUUAGGAUUCAUUGCUGUGAAUAUCUGAUCAACUGCCUAUGCACAGCUUUUUCCUAAAUUGCACUGUCUAAAUGUCACAUUGAAUCAGUAUUAUUGAGAGUUGAAUGUUGUAAAGAUUGAAUGCUGUCUUACUGAAGUGAAAGGUGGACUUUCUUCCUAUGGAUGUCUACAUAAGUAUCUCAUUCCACAACUUUGCAUGUGGUAAUUUCCAAAUGUUUGCUUUAUGCCAAGAGAAUGUUACUGUUAAUUGUAUUAAAGACAAGUCACAGUUUGUUAAACUUAGGGAACAUAAUGUCCUGCUUUCUAUAAAAUGUGAUUUCCUUUAUCAGUAAUGUCAUACCAGGCCAUCUUGUGAUUUCACUUGACUUGCACAAAGAUAAGAUGGAAAAAGAGUCUCGUCUGUUCUGCUCAUCGCUGUAAACAAAUCUAAGUAGUAAUGAUUAUUUUGCUUCGAUUGCAGUCAGAGUUCAAUCAUGACACUGAUCUGUGUAUCAUAGCAUAUUAGAUUGGUCCUCACAUUGUUUACUUGUGACAGGUUUUGCAACAUGAAGUUUCUGCAGUUCCAGAAAGAAAAAUGGUAACGGGGCAAAGCAGUUAGCCCACUUGUCUUUAGUCGUGGUGUGGUUCUAUUGGUCGAAAACCCUUUAAAAAUAGAUUGAAGUCAGUUUGCAGAUUCUAUAUAGAACACUUGCAGCAGUUGUAGGGUAUUCAAGAAAUUUGAGCUAUGCACUUCUUGACUCAACCCAUAUCAGUGAGGGGGUGUCUGAGUAGAUAUAGGCCAUAGGUUGAGGCCGUCACAUGCAGGGAGAAACAGACGCCUGUGCAUUGAGUUCAGAGUAUGGUUGAGCCUGUGGCCAAUGUCUGUCAUCAUGGAAAGACCGGUGAAACUUGGUCUGACAUGGCUUAUCUAAUCCACGAUAGUUGGGUACACAACCACAUUGUGACAGCAGCCAAUAUUGUCAUCAGCACAACAUUGGUUAAUGCUUCACUGUGCAUUUCUCCAGACCAACUGCCCAUGCUUGCAACUUGGUUUGGGAAAUAAAAAGUUCAAACACUUGAGUUACAAAAGAAGGAAGUCCAAGAACAGAA